rnacentral:rRNA from 1 species
CACGUAGGGGCCAAGCGUUGUCCGGAUUUAUUGGGCGUAAAGAGCUCGUAGGCGGUUCGACAAGUCGGGUGUGAAAACUCCGGGCUCAACCCGGAGACGCCCACCCGAUACUGUCGUGACUGGAGUCCGGUAGGGGAGUGGGGAAUUCCUGGUGUAGCGGUGAAAUGCGCAGAUAUCAGGAGGAACACCGGUGGCGAAGGCGCCACUCUGGGCCGGUACUGACGCUGAGGAGCGAAAGCGUGGGUAGCAAACAGG